rnacentral:rRNA from 1 species
UACUGAGACACGGACCAGACUCCUACGGGAGGCAGCAGUGAGGAAUAUUGGUCAAUGGGCGCAAGCCUGAACCAGCCAUACCGCGUGCAGGAUGACGGUCCUAUGGAUUGUAAACUGCUUUUGUACAGGAAGAAACAUCUCUACGUGUAGAGACUUGACGGUACUGUAAGAAUAAGGAUCGGCUAACUCCGUGCCAACAGCCGCGGUAAUACGGAGGAUCCAAGCGUUAUCCGGAAUCAUUGGGUUUAAAGGGUCCGUAGGCGGUUUUGUAAGUCAGUGGUGAAAGCCCAUCGCUCAACGGUGGAACGGCCAUUGAUACUGCAAGACUUGAAUUAUUGGGAAGUAACUAGAAUAUGUAGUGUAGCGGUGAAAUGCUUAGAGAUUACAUGGAAUACCAAUUGCGAAGGCAGGUUACUACCAAUAUAUUGACGCUGAUGGACGAAAGCGUGGGGAGCGAACAGGAUUAGAUACCCUGGUAGUCCACGCCGUAAACGAUGGAUACUAGCUG